CUUGCUUCUCUUGAGAGCGGCGGACGGGUGAGUAAUGCCUAGGAAUCUGCCUGGUAGUGGGGGAUAACGUCCGGAAACGGACGCUAAUACCGCAUACGUCCUACGGGAGAAAGCAGGGGACCUUCGGGCCUUGCGCUAUCAGAUGAGCCUAGGUCGGAUUAGCUAGUUGGUGGGGUAAUGGCUCACCAAGGCGACGAUCCGUAACUGGUCUGAGAGGAUGAUCAGUCACACUGGAACUGAGACACGGUCCAGACUCCUACGGGAGGCAGCAGUGGGGAAUAUUGGACAAUGGGCGAAAGCCUGAUCCAGCCAUGCCGCGUGUGUGAAGAAGGUCUUCGGAUUGUAAAGCACUUUAAGUUGGGAGGAAGGGCAGUAAAUUAAUACUUUGCUGUUUUGACGUUACCGACAGAAUAAGCACCGGCUAACUCUGUGCCAGCAGCCGCGGUAAUACAGAGGGUGCAAGCGUUAAUCGGAAUUACUGGGCGUAAAGCGCGCGUAGGUGGUUCGUUAAGUUGGAUGUGAAAUCCCCGGGCUCAACCUGGGAACUGCAUUCAAAACUGACGAGCUAGAGUAUGGUAGAGGGUGGUGGAAUUUCCUGUGUAGCGGUGAAAUGCGUAGAUAUAGGAAGGAACACCAGUGGCGAAAGCGACCACCUGGACUGAUACUGACACUGAGGUGCGAAAGCGUGGGGAGCAAACAGGAUUAGAUACC
rnacentral:rRNA from 1 species